GUUAAGCUCCUCUCAAUAACUCUUUCUUCUGCAACCUCAUAGUAAUUUACAAAAUACCUAUAUUAUAAGGGUGGCAAUUAUCUGUUAUGGUAACUUAUCUUAUACAUGUGUGACUCUUCCGCUGUAAUGGAAGCUCUUAGAAAUCAGGGUUGGUGUCUUUGUUUUGUUUUCAUGUUUAUAUCAAGUUAAUCUCAAAAUGCAACAAAAGCUAUUGCCUCCAUCAUAAAACACUCC
rnacentral:lncRNA from 1 species